rnacentral:rRNA from 1 species
GUGUCAGCCGCCGCGGUAAUACGUAGGGGGCGAGCGUUGUCCGGAAUCAUUGGGCGUAAAGGGUGCGUAGGCGGCUUGGCAAGUCCUGUGUGAAAGGUCGCGGCUUAACCGCGGUGGGUCAUGGGAAACUGCCAGGCUUGAGUGCCGGAGAGGAUAGCGGAAUUCCACGUGUAGCGGUGAAAUGCGUAGAUAUGUGGAGGAACACCAGUGGCGAAGGCGGCUAUCUGGAAGGUAACUGACGCUGAGGCACGACAGCUGGGGGAGCAAACAGGAUUAGAUACCCUGGUAGUCCCAGCCGUAAACGAUGAGUGCUAGGUGUUGGGGGUAUCGACCCCUCCAGUGCCGAAGUCAACACAAUAAGCACUCCGCCUGGGGAGUACGGCCGCAAGGCUGAAACUUAAAGGAAUUGGCGG